UACGUAGGGUGCGAGCGUUGUCCGGAAUUAUUGGGCGUAAAGAGCUCGUAGGCAGUUUGUCGCGUCGGCCGUGAAAACUUGGGGCUUAACUCCAAGCUUGCGGUCGAUACGGGCAGACUUGAGUUCGGCAGGGGAGACUGGAAUUCCUGGUGUAGCGGUGAAAUGCGCAGAUAUCAGGAGGAACACCGGUGGCGAAGGCGGGUCUCUGGGCCGACACUGACGCUGAGGAGCGAAAGCGUGGGGAGCGAACAGG
rnacentral:rRNA from 1 species